rnacentral:rRNA from 1 species
GACGAACGCUGGCGGCGUGCUUAACACAUGCAAGUCGAGCGAUGAAGCACCUUCGGGUGUGAAUUAGCGGCGAACGGGUGAGGAACACGUGAGAAAUCUGCCUUCAACUCUGGGAUAACUCCGAGAAAACGGGGCUAAUACCGGAUAUGAAACCUGCGGGCCUCCGCGGGGUUGGCAAGUUUUUCGGUUGAAGAUGAUCUCGCGGCCUAUCAGCCUGUUGGUGAGGUAAUGGCUCACCAAGGCGACGACGGGUAGCCGGCCUGAGAGGGCGACCGGCCACACUGGGACUGAGACACGGCCCAGACUCCAACGGGGGGCAGCAGUGGGGAAUAUUGGGCAAUGGAGGAAACUCUGACCCAGCGACGCCGCGUGCGGGAUGAAGGCCUUCGGGUUGUAAACCGCUUUCAGCAGGGAAGAAGCGAAAGUGACGGUACCUACAGAAGAAGCACCGGCUAGCUAUGUGCCAGCAGCCGCGGUAA